rnacentral:rRNA from 1 species
GAUGAACGCUGGCGGCGUGCUUAACACAUGCAAGUCGAACGAAGCACUUUAAUCGGUUUCUUCGGAUUGAAAUUUUAGUGACUGAGUGGCGGACGGGUGAGUAACGCGUGGGUAACCUGCCUCACACAGGGGGAUAACAGUUGGAAACGGCUGCUAAUACCGCAAAAGCGCACAGUACCGCAUGGUACGGUGUGAAAAACUCCGGUGGUGCGAGAUGGUCCCGCGCCUGAUUAGCUAGUUGGCAGGGCAGCGGCCUACCAAGGCGACGAUCAGUAGCCGACCUGGGAGGGUGACCGGCCACAUUGGGACUGAGACACGGCCCAAACUCCUACGGGAGGCAGCAGUGGGGAAUAUUGCACAAUGGGGGAACCCCUGAUGCAGCGACGCCGCGUGAGCGAAGAAGUAUUUCGGUAUGUAAAGCUCUAUCAGCAGGGAAGAAGAAAUGACGGUACCUGACUAAGAAGCACCGGCUAAAUACGUGCCAGCCGCCGCGGUAA